rnacentral:rRNA from 1 species
UACGGGGGGAGCAAGCGUUGUUCGGAUUUACUGGGCGUAAAGGGCGCGUAGGCGGCGUGACAAGUCACUUGUGAAAUCUCUGAGCUUAACUCAGAACGGCCAAGUGAAACUGUUGUGCUAGAGUGCAGAAGGGGCAAUCGGAAUUCUUGGUGUAGCGGUGAAAUGCGUAGAUAUCAAGAGGAACACCUGAGGUGAAGACGGGUUGCUGGGCUGACACUGACGCUGAGGCGCGAAAGCCAGGGGAGCAAACGGG